rnacentral:rRNA from 1 species
UACGUAGGGAGCAAGCGUUGUCCGGAAUCAUUGGGCGUAAAGCGCGCGUAGGUGGCCUCGUAAGUCCGCUGUGAAAGUCAAAGGCUCAACCUUUGAAAGCCGGUGGAUACUGUGAGGCUAGAGUACGGAAGAGGCGAGUGGAAUUCCUGGUGCAGCGGUGGAAUGCGCAGAUAUCAGGAGGAACACCAAUAGCGAAGGCAGCUCGCUGGGACGUUACUGACACUGAGGCGCGAAAGCGUGGGGAGCGAACAGG